UGGCUCCCUAGCACUACUCCUUAUUUAAAUCCCUAGUUGGCCCAGAUAUUUUCUCAUGAACUCGAAACUCCUAAGCAUCGCGCUAUCUCUCUCUCUCUCUCUCUCUCCAUCUGAUUCGCCAUUCGUAUGAGAAUUCUCGGAACCAGAUCUCGCAUUCUUCUUCAUGCCUUAUUUCAUUGUGAGAGAGUCUGCGAUCUUCUCCGUGAAGCUCGCUUCCGUACUGCAUUAUCGGUUUCUUUCGCAACUCACAGAUUCUGCGUUUCGUCCGAAUCACGUUAGCGGAAGUAUCACCGAUUGUUUUUCAUUCAGUUCGAACAACAGCAAGUUCUUCAGGUUGUAAUUGCGUUUGGUGGCUGAGAAGCUGCGGGAAAAUAAAGGAUUUGUGAUAGUUUUUAUUCUGAUGUGCUGAAAAUAUUAGACUUGAUGAAAAAAAAAAAAACCUACAAAAAGUUUAAUCCUAUGUUACAAAAGAAAUACAGGAGGGUAAGGCUCACAGUAAUUCUUUUGAAGAUAUUCCUCUGAGAUGUUGAGGAUUGACAGGCUUCGUAUUAUUCUCCUCCUAAGGCAAGUUUAGUCUCUUUGCUUGUGAGGUAAUACUGCAUGUAUCUAUUGUCCCUGGAUCCGAUGAGGCGGAAGUCUCAUACACGUCGCUGUCAAUUUUUGGGGAUAAUUUUUGCAGGCUUUACGUAUAAUUUGUGCAGCCUUGUUGGAGCAAUGGAUGCAGUUUGAUUCAACACAAUGGAUCAUAAAUCCCAAAAAGAGUUUGGUAUUGCAUCUUGUACACUUGGAUUGAGAGUUCAUCACCAAGGCUAUUUGGCAAUGAGCAGAUGAUCCCGCAAUAACAUGUUCUUACUAGAGAGAGAAAACAUCCUGGCAUAGCAUUUGUCUAUUUAAACCUUUCUUCUAGAUGCAUGUUUUUAACAGUAGAGAGAAAGGGUCUGGUAUGGAGGUAAACAUCAUAUCUUGAGUGUUCUUUCUUUUUAACAAUAAGAAGUCUGUAAACCCUUCGAAUUAAUUUUUAUCACUCAACCAUAGUCUUUAACAUCACCCCUUUCACAGUUGUGUUCACAUUUACAAAUAACUUUGUCAAAAAAAAAAUGUGUGUCACUGUGGUCAACAAGCUUUAACACCAUGUAAAUCGUACAAGCUUACAACUGCUUUAUAGAAGGAGCCCACUUUCUGAUUCAUUUUCCCUCAAAGGCACUAGAUUGGGAUAUAGAGAGGGUACAAAUUGAAAAAUUAGAAAAACUAUAGGAUUUUUGUUUCAAGAUAUUUUUUCUUUUUGGUGACAAAAACUAUUUUGUUAGAAUAAUCACUAGGGAAUAAGUUUCGUUUUUUAAGUCUCAAAAAAUUAUUCGUAGACAUUAGUUUUUCUUUAAAAUAUCAAAUUCUAAUGGUUUAGUAAGAUUUUAUUCUCACUAUGGAGGUUGAGGAUAACAUAUUUCUAUGACAAAGGAAUAAGAACUAUUAAGUAAAGAUAUUAAUAUGUCUCUUACUUUAAUUUAUUAAUAAUAAGUAAUAAUAUGUAUUUUGAAGUAUGUUAAGAAUUAUCACGUGAUCCUAGAAUAUGCCAUAAAUCAAAUGCAUUUAUAAUUUAUUCCUAGGAAAAUGGCAUAAACAAUUACAGGAAUUUUUACUGUAAAAGAUUCAAAUUUUUUACAAUACAUAGGAGUAACAUGUUUUUAAGUAUAAUAAUAUUUCUUCGAAUAUAGUUCUAGGGAAACCUUAAAACAGAAGUUCUAUUAGGAGGCAAGUAUAUCCCCUAGUCUAACUUGAUCUUUAGUCAAGUUAUGAUUUAGUUGGGUUUGAGUUCAAAGAAAUGAUGCUGUGAGAAGAUUGGGCAGAUUUAAGUAUCAUUAAAACCUUUGUACCUUACAUGUUUAACAUUUGGCAUAUUUAAGUAUCACUCUGCAUUUCUUUGCGUUGAAAUAGCUAUGGAGAAGUAGUAAAUAUAAUCCUCUACCAAAAACAUGUCCACUGUAAAAAAGAAAUGCAUUUUUUUGCUGAUGCCACAGCAUUUUACACUCCUUGUUUGUGAGAAGGCCUUUGUAAUUUUGAAAGGGUUGCAGACAACAUCGUAAAAGAAACCUUUUAUCCUAUCAAUUGGGUUUUACAUGGACAUUUAUGAACUUAUAUUUAAAAUAAAUACAUGUUGCACAGAAAAGAAUGUACCGGUGACUUUCUUGCAAGUUCUGCAAUUGUUGCCUUAACAUUGCUGCCUCCCUUUGCCAAAACUAGAAAAUAAUAACCAAUAAAAAAGGUCUUAGAUUUUAAAGGAGAAAAAAUCACUAGAUACACAUGCUUAUGCCAUGGUGUACCCGUUCAUUAACUAUAUAUAUGUGAUGCAAAUGGUCAGGUGAUUUGAUUAAAAUCUGCAUAAAUAAAAACAAUAAUAAAAAAAGAUGAAAAAAAGAUUAAUUAUUGAUGUGGAAACUUCACAAUGAUAUAGUAAAUUGUCAUAUGAUUGGCUUAUUUGAUUGAAAAUGUAUAUUAUUGAGAUGAGAUUGUGAUUGUGAUUAAUUGUUCUUUAUGAAAAUGAGGUGCCUCUGGGUGUAAGGUGGUGCUUGUUUGGCCUUGAUUUUGGACAGUGAUAAUAUUUGGACAUGCAACUUUUGUCAGAUAGAACUAGCCACUUGAAUGUAUCUAUUUGAUGUGAAACUGAUGAAUUUGACACUUGAUAGCCAGUGACUACUGUGACUAACAACUUUUAACUAACUCAGUCAUUGUAAAGAGUGAAAUACCCCGUGUAUCAUGCUAGACAAGCUGCCCUCUCCCCUAUACUUCCUCUUGUAGACUCUUUCCUGAUCAUAAUCACAAAUAUCUCAUUUUGAUUCAUUCUCUCUAAUCUUAAUAUUCUCUGAAAUCUUUAUAUUCUUGUAUUUGUUACUUGAACAAUCGUCUUUUCUUCCUUUUCCAUAUUUUUCUUCAACAUAGUGUCAAAGUGGUAACAUCAACUAAGACCUAAUCAUAUAACUAUUUUUGAGUUACUAAAAGAUGGAUCAUCUUUCUUUGUAGCCUCCUGUUUUCACAUUUCUGUGAUUUCUGUUUAUAUCUACGUCUUGCAUUUUCCUGCUUGCAAUCAUAUUUAACUCUUUUCCAGCCCAAUUUCCCUUUUAGAUUGAUUGAAAGAUUGGUUAGCUUUGUUUCAUGAUAUUUAUUAUAUCUGGUGGGUUUUCUUAUCCUUUUUAAUUCCUCAUCUUAAUGAAUUUAAUAAAAAAAAAAGUUUCCAACUAACUUCCCAUUCCUUUGAUUUCUUAUCAAAAUUUUUAGCUUGGUUGGAAGUUGGAACUCAUGCUUAGCUCACUUAAUCUGUUGUUGUCACUUUCUUUCAAAACAAGCAUUGAUUACCUAGAUUUUGAAAAAAUAAUUGAUGGAAAGGCAACCUGAACUAUACAUACCAAUGUUCAAGCUGCUAGUUGCCAUGUCUUAGGUCACCUUCACCAAAGAAUGUUUUUCUAGCCAAGCUAACUGCCUUUGGCUUGUUUUUGAUAGUUUGGCUAAUUUAUCCUUCCUUGGGUUCCCUUCAUCUGUUGUUCCCUCUCUUAGCAUUGGUCAUCACCUGAUCUGUUCCAACUUUUUCGCAUUCUGUUUGUCUGAACUGUCCCUGUACACUCUGUUUGGACUUGUAUUUUGGCAUGGAAUACUGUAUCUUUGGUGCUAUUUGGAUCUGCUUCCCUUUGAAUGGCUGUUUGUCUGUUAGGAUGUUCUCUUAGGUUUUAAGUCAUUGUUCUAAUGAUUUGAUUUGUUUAAGGAGUGCUUACUUGUAAUGAGCUGAGGAAUGAAGUAUGCUUCUACUUAAGGUUCAUUGAUUUAUUUUAAUUCUUGCUUUGAUUACUUGUCAUAUUGGGUUAAACUUAUAAUCUAUUUGUAUUGUGCUAGAACUUGUCCGAUAUUUUAAUUCUCUCUCUCUCUCUCUCUCUCUCUCUCUCUCUCUCUCUCUCUCUCUCUCUCCUUAUAGUUUUUUAAUGUAAAGAAUUGGAUCAAAGCUGCAGAUUCAACAAGGAUUUGACGCCUCUUAUUAAUGAAGAUUGUGCACUUUAUCUUGAAAUGUAAUAUAUCUCGUGCAUUUUAGGAGCCAAAUCCUUCAAGAACACGAGUAAUAUGGAUAUAGUGGUGAAUGAUAAGAUUGGAGUUAGUGCCCUCUGUAUAAAUUCGACCCCUUCAUCACUUUUGAUUGCUUUGUACAAAGUCGUUUAAAUACUUUCUGUGUCGUUAUGGAUUGUGAAAUAAUUCACAGGAUAUCUGGCCAACUUUAAUCCAUUUGAAAUUCUGUGGUAAUUGUUUACUGCUGAGCUUCAUAAUUAGGUUAGUUGGAAUAUGUAGAAUUAGGAACGCAAUGGUCUCAGUUAUUCUAUUUUUGUUUAUGACCUUUACUGUUGGUUUUGGUUGUUGGGAAAUGUUUCCCUGAGGUCGUUAACAAUGAUGAUUUCAUGACAGUUAUUUGCAGUGAGAAGGAGAUUAUUUGGUCUGUAAGAUGCACAUUAUUUUGGUUAUCCAAGAUCUAGUGAGAGAGCAGAGGUUUGCUUGUUUUGUCUGGGCUUUUUCAUGUUUUCAGUAGUUAGUAGGAACGGUAUGGUCAAAGAUUUGCUUAUCUUCAAGUCUUGGUUUGUUGAAUAGUGCCCUUAUGCAUGCAGAGAGAUGCACAGCCCUUGAUUUAUUUGAGGAUCAUCUGGCCUAGCGAUGGUUAGGUAUUCCUGAGGGUUUUGAGUUUGUUGACCUUAAUGCUGUGUGUGGUUCAAGUAUUACUUUGUUAUUCAGAUUCCAUUUCCAUGGAAAUCAAAUAUACCCAUGAGGAAGGUGGGAAUUGAAAAUGAUGGUAUUUUGAUUUCCUGGAAUCAAACUUACCUGAAAAUAGCUUUUCAAACUUUGAACCAAACAUGAAAAUAUGAUAUUCCCAUCUUAAAAUUCCUAGAAAUUAUUUAUAAUUCCCCCAACCACACACACCCUAAGUGUGCAGGGAUUCCUACUUCCUAUGGUAUACUUUCUUUGCUUACAAUAAAGGUGAGUUCUUUUCCCUAUUAAAACUACAUUAAUAUGCUAUUGAUGUUUUUCACCUACAGUUGGUUAUUGUGUAUGGGAAGAUACCAUUCAUUUUGGUUUGUCAAUUUAUCAAAUCCAUGAUUGUGAGUUCCCUAGAAUCCAUAUUCAGACUUUGCAUUACUAGACAAUGGAAGGAAACAAAUUAAUUCAUUUCAGGGACUUCUUUUGAAGUUCCUCAAGGAUGAUUCUUACCAGCUAGUGGAUGGCUGAACCGAACCAUGCUUUGUUUAAGAUGCCUGAAUAGCUCUUGCUUUCUAGAAAGCCUAAUUUCAGAGUCAAAUCAUUCAUAAUAGGAAUAUGAUGGUUAAUGUAUGCAAAAUAACUUACUCAUCAAUAGAUUUGAGUAUGUUGAAUCAGCUAUGAUGCUUUGUUCUGCAGGAUAUAGAGCUAGGUGAUUUUAGUCUCAAGUUCCUUGACUAUGCUUCCCCAAUCAAUAGAUUCCUUGUACCUAUAUAUCAAGAUAAACGAACUAAUUUUUAAUGGAAUUAAUUUUGGAACUUGUGCAUCACCAACGUAGCUUUGGUAUUUCAGAUGACUUUUGCUAUGCAUGUAUUUUCCACCUUCUGCUAACAAAUAUGAUUUCUAGAUCAGGCCAUUGCUUGUAAUGAUUUGAAUUGCGGCCUGCUCCUAAAGAAGAACAACUCAUCUGGUUACUGAUGUGGUGCUCAGGCAGCAUCUACCAAUAGGAUUUGAAGCAUAACUGCUGAACAUAGCUUAGUCCUGGUGAACUCAUUAUUUUCAGUUGAUUGGAAGGACUGAAUGAUGUAGAGACAGUCAUCAAAGAAAAAGUCCAAAGGAACACUGCCAUUUUUGUGACAGUAGUUCUUAAAUGUGCCUUUUUCUGUUGUGGAUUAUUGUUUCCUGAAAAAAUUGGGGAAAUCAUUAAUAUUCUUUUCUUUGUCUUUUGAAUCUAUUUCUUACAUCUGAUGCAUUCUUUUGUUAUGUUUUCUGGUAGAUCAUAGACCUUUUGGGUGGCAGGAUGGCUUGUGCCCUUGUUAUGGUACAAUACUAAAAGAGAUUCUCAUUUAGGUACACAAACAUGGCAGCUAUAUUCUGAAAGGCCCUGUUGAGUUCCUUCCAGUUGUCUCAUUUACGAGAUAUUACUGUUCAAUUUUUAGGUGUUCAAUUGAUUGGGAUACUUUGUUGCAUUCUAUGUAUAUGAGAGAUUCUCCUAGCACUGCCAUGGGAGUUUCUCUGCCAUAGUACUAGCUAGUGUGGCAAAUGGCAAUGCAACAUCCCAUUGCCAUAGCUGCCAGGUAUUUGACAUAUAACUUGCACGAUAUUGAAAAUGGUGAGCUAACAAGAGCCUCUCUUGUUUCCCCAUAUUCUUUCUUUUUGGGUUCAACAUAAACCCAAAAGAACGCAAUUGAAAAAAGGUCUGCAGUGAUUUCAAUUAGUGGAUCUCUUUUACUUUGGUUUCUUAGUGUUUUU